AUUGAACGCUGGCGGCAUGCUUUACACAUGCAAGUCGAACGGCAGCGCGGGCUUCGGCCUGGCGGCGAGUGGCGAACGGGUGAGUAAUGCAUCGGAACGUGCCCAGUAGUGGGGGAUAGCCCGGCGAAAGCCGGAUUAAUACCGCAUACGACCUGAGGGUGAAAGCGGGGGACCGAAAGGCCUCGCGCUAUUGGAGCGGCCGAUGACGGAUUAGCUAGUUGGUGGGGUAAAGGCUUACCAAGGCGACGAUCCGUAGCUGGUCUGAGAGGACGACCAGCCACACUGGGACUGAGACACGGCCCAGACUCCUACGGGAGGCAGCAGUGGGGAAUUUUGGACAAUGGGGGCAACCCUGAUCCAGCCAUGCCGCGUGCGGGAAGAAGGCCUUCGGGUUGUAAACCGCUUUUGUUCGGGAAGAAAUCCUCUGGGCUAAUACCCCGGGGGGAUGACGGUACCGGAAGAAUAAGCACCGGCUAACUACGUG
rnacentral:rRNA from 1 species